rnacentral:rRNA from 1 species
UCGAGCGCGCCUUCGGGUCAGCGGCUAACGGGUUAGUACGCGUGGGAACGUGCCCUUCUCUACGAGAAUAGCCUCUGGAAACGGAGAGUAAUACCGUAUACGCCCUUUGGGGGAAAGAUUUAUCGGAGAAGGAUCGGCCCUGCGUUAGAUUAGGUAGUUGGUGGGGUAAUGGCCUACCAAGCCUACGAUCUAUAGCUGGUUUUAGAGGAUGAUCAGCAACACUGGGACUGAGACACGGACCAGACUCCUACGGGAGGCAGCAGUGGGGAAUCUUAGACAAUGGGGGCAACCCUGAUCUAGCCAUGCCGCGUGAGUGAUGAAGGCCUUAGGGAUCGUAAAUGCUCUUAUACGACCUAGUGAUCGAUAAUUGACAAGUAGCCAGGUAACAGAAACCCCAGGAUAACUCCGUGCCAGCAGCCGCGGUAAUACGGAGGGUGCGAGCGUAAAUCGGAAUUACUGGGCGUAAAGCGCGCGUAAA